rnacentral:rRNA from 1 species
AGGACGAACGCUGGCGGCGUGCUUAACACAUGCAAGUCGAGCGAGGCUCUCUCCUUCGGGAGGGAUGCCCUAGCGGCGAACGGGUGAGUAACACGUGGGCAACCUGCCCCUAGCACUGGGAUAACUCCGGGAAACCGGGGCUAAUACCGGAUACGACCUCUGAGGGCAUCCUCCGGAGGUGGAAAGCAUUGUGGCUAGGGAUGGGCCCGCGGCCUAUCAGCUUGUUGGUGAGGUAACGGCCCACCAAGGCGACGACGGGUAGCCGGCCUGAGAGGGCGACCGGCCACACUGGGACUGAGACACGGCCCAGACUCCUACGGGAGGCAGCAGUGGGGAAUAUUGCACAAUGGGCGAAAGCCUGAUGCAGCGACGCCGCGUGAGGGAUGACUGCCUUCGGGUUGUAACCUCUUUCAGCAGGGACGAAGCGAAAGUGACGGUACCUGCAGAAGAGCACCGGCCAACUACGUGCCAGCAGCCGCGGU